ACUCAAAUGAAUAGACGGGGGCUCACACAAGCGGUGGAGCAUGUGGCUCAAUUCGAGGCUACGCGAAGAACCUUAUCCUGGGCUUGACAUGUGCGAAAGCGCUGAGAAGUAGCGGGUUGAAAGACUUUGCCAACGGUAUCCAGUCCGGAACUCAGUACAGGUGCUGCAUGGCUGUCGUCAGCUCGUGUCGUGAGAUGUCGGGUUAAGUCCCAUAACGAGCGAAACCCUUGUCCUUAGUUGCUACCCGCAAGGGAGGACUCUAGGGAGACUGCCGGUGUUAAACCGGAGGAAGGUGGGGAUGACGUCAAGUCCUCAUGGCCUUUAUGCCCAGGGCUGCACACGUGCUACAAUGGCGUGAACAAAGGGACGCAAACCCGCGAGGGGGAGCAAAUCCCAAAAAACACGCCCCAGUUCAGAUCGAAGGCUGCAACUCGCCUUCGUGAAGUUGGAAUCGCUAGUAAUCGCAGGUCAGCAACACUGCGGUGAAUGUGUUCCUGAGCCUUGCACACACCGCCCGU
rnacentral:rRNA from 1 species